CCAGAAAGGGACGGCUAANUACGUGCCAGCAGCCGCGGUAAUACGUAGGUCCCGAGCGUUNUCCGGAUUUAUUGGGCGUAAAGGGAGCGCAGGCGNUCAGGAAAGUCUGGAGUAAAAGGCUAUGGCUCAACCAUAGUGUGCUCUGGAAACUGUNUGACUUGAGUGCAGAAGGGGAGAGUGGAAUUCCAUGUGUAGCGGUGAAAUGCGUAGAUAUAUGGAGGANCACCAGUGGCGAAAGCGGCUCUCUGGUCUGUCACUGACGCUGAGGCUCGAAAGCGUGGGUAGCGAACAGGAUUAGAUACCCUGGUAGUNCACGCCGUAAACGAUGAGUGCUAGGUGUUAGGCCCUUUCCGGGGCUUAGUGCCGGAGCUAACGCAAUAAGCACUCCGCCUGGGGAGUACGACCGCAAGGUUGAAACUCAAAGGAAUUGACGGGGGCCCGCACAAGCGGUGGAGCAUGUGGUUUAAUUCGAAGCAACGCGAAGAACCUUACCAGGUCUUGACAUCCCGAUGCUAUUCUUAGAGAUAAGAAGUUACUUCGGUACAUCGGAGACAGGUGGUGCAUGGUUGUCGUCAGCUCGUGUCGUGAGAUGUUGGGUUAAGUCCCGCAACGAGCGCAACCCUUAUUGUUAGUUGCCAUCAUUAAGUUGGGCACUCUAGCGAGACUGCCGGUAAUAAACCGGAGGAAGGUGGGGAUGACGUCAAAUCAUCAUGCCCCUUAUGACCUGGGCUACACACGUGCUACAAUGGUCGGUACAACGAGUUGCGAGCCGGUGACGGCAAGCUAAUCUCUGAAAGCCGAUCUCAGUUCGGAUUGGAGGCUGCAACUCGCCUCCAUGAAGUCGGAAUCGCUAGUAAUCGCGGAUCAGCACGCCGCGGUGAAUACGUUCCCGGGCCUUGUACACACCGCCCGUCACACCACGAGAGUUUGUAACACCCGAAGUCGGUGAGGUAACCUUUUAGGGGCCAGCCGCCUAAGGUGGGAUGGAUGAU
rnacentral:rRNA from 1 species